rnacentral:rRNA from 1 species
UGGGGAAUUUUGGACAAUGGGCGCAAGCCUGAUCCAGCCAUUCCGCGUGCAGGAUGAAGGCCUUCGGGUUGUAAACUGCUUUUGUACGGAACGAAACGGUUCUCUCUAAUACAGGGGGCUAAUGACGGUACCGUAAGAAUAAGCACCGGCUAACUACGUGCCAGCAGCCGCGGUAAUACGUAGGGUGCAAGCGUUAAUCGGAAUUACUGGGCGUAAAGCGUGCGCAGGCGGUUUUGUAAGACAGAGGUGAAAUCCCCGGGCUCAACCUGGGAACUGCCUUUGUGACUGCAAGGCUGGAGUACGGCAGAGGGGGAUGGAAUUCCGCGUGUAGCAGUGAAAUGCGUAGAUAUGCGGAGGAACACCGAUGGCGAAGGCAAUCCCCUGGGCCUGUACUGACGCUCAUGCACGAAAGCGUGGGGAGCAAACAGG